UACGGAGGGUGCGAGCGUUAAUCGGAAUUACUGGGCGUAAAGCGCGCGUAGGCGGUUUGAUAAGCUGGAUGUGAAAGCCCUGGGCUCAACCUGGGAACUGCAUCCAGAACUGUCUGACUAGAGUACAGUAGAGGUGAGUGGAAUUUCCUGUGUAGCGGUGAAAUGCGUAGAUAUAGGAAGGAACAUCAGUGGCGAAGGCG
rnacentral:rRNA from 1 species